CUAGUUUAGUCUUUUGAGCAGUGCAUGGUGGUGUAUUUCGAGUGGUUUUCAAAUGAAGGAGGAAUAUUUGUCGCAUGAUACCUGACCCAGUGAAGUGAGGGAUAAUGGGACACCACUCCUCUGACAGCUAGGAGGACAGCCAUAGCAGGAGGAAGAAGGAUAAUCACGGAAGGCGCCCCUAUUCCUCCAGCUCCUCCGGCAGCCAGGUGACCAGCCACAGAAAGAGGUCCAGCAGCUGCUCCAGAGACAGAGACAGGAGACGCAGGCGGCGGUCCAACAGCAGCUCGUCCCGAAGGAGGAGGGAGUGGAGAUGGAGACCGAGGCAGGACCAACCGCUCCCAUAGGACAUGCAGCCGAACCCGCAGGUCUCAUGAGCGGCGGUGUUCUCGCAGCAGGAGCAGCGGCCGGUCCAGCCGCAGGAAGAGCCGCAGCCACAGCCGAGACCGCAGCCGGCUGAAGGGCCGCGACAAAGAGAAGGAGAAGAACAGGGACCGAGACAAUGGCAGGGACCGAGACAAUGGCAGGGACCGAGACAAGGGCAGGGACUGAGACGAGGGCCGGGACCGAGACAAGGACAGAGCCAAAGCCAAGAGGUCCGACAAACAAGGGUGAGUGAAGAGUUAUUUUGGACAGCGCCAGCAUCAAAGCAGCAUGAGAACAUCUGCCAUAACAGAUGAGGUACUGAAAGCCAAGAAGAGGAAGGACGAGGAGGCCAAGAAGAUGAAGAGGGGACGUCACUGGCUGAUCAUGUGCGAAGGAUAAAGGACAUUGAGGCCAUUGAGAGUGAAUCCUUUGUUCCUCAGGCUUUCAAAUCAUCCCGAGACAGUGUCAAGGUGCGCUUUCUCUCUCUCCUUCUCUGUUCGCUUCUUUCUCUCUCUUAUUAGAUUUCCUUCCUCCCCCCCUCCAGUUUUUAUUCCAUCUGUCCGAGGGCGGCUCCCGGACCCAAAUUAAACCAUUCCCAUUCAAUGCCGUUUGCUCCGUCUGUUUGUUCAGGACGAGAAAAGGGGCCGGUCGGGACUGUUUUUUGAUCUGCUCGGCCGCCACAAAAGCGGGAUAACCGCCACAAAAGCCACCGCGGCGGAUUUCUGUCCCUCGCCCUCUCUCUCUCGCUUUCUCUCUCUCUCUCUCUCUCCACAGACACAGCGACAGAAGCACAGAAGUCAUUAUUGAAAUGCUCCUGCCUGGGAAAACGUGGAGGAUAUUAGAUUUGUUGGCAAUCAUUGCCGAUCCUGGGAGGGUUAGGACAAAAGGUGACAGUCCAAGUGGAGCGGGUUGAUAGAUUACACCAGGCACUGGGACCGGGUCCUGUAUCUAUCCCUCUGUGUGCUGUUGCUCUCUCUUUAAAAAUAAAAAUAAAUGUUUUAUCUCUCUCUCUGUCUUAUCACGACUGUACCUGGCCUGUGUAAGUGGUAUGAGAGGAGAACAAGGAAAGGGACGUGAUUGCGUAUGGUUGUCUUCUUACCUACCUUAGUUGAAUGCACUUAUUGUACGUUUCUCUGGAUAAGAGCGUCUGCUAAAUGACCAAAGUGUAAAUGUCAUUGAGGUACUUUUUAUAGUUAAGUGUUCUGAGGCCCCCAGGGGCCAAACACCUGCAGCCCUCUUCAGUUAGCACUUAAUUAGCCACCGAUUUACACAUGGCAUGUUCAAAUAGAGGCCCUAAUGAAAUAAUGAGGAUACAGGGUGUGAGGAGAGUGGUGUGACCCCCCUAGCUGCCAAGUCCUAACCUCCUUCCAUCCCCACUCGAGUAGGGGUGAAUUUUCCAUCAGGCUCCACACGCGGGCACAUACACCCUCAUCAGUGUCCCUCCCGGCUGCAGGAAGUGCAUGUGUUAAACAAAGACACACGCACACUGCUCAGAAGAUCCAGUCAGUACUUUAGACUUAUACUCACAUUGCCAUCUUCUGGGCAAACACCAAACUACAUCUGCUGCCUCUGUUAUUCCUCUGCAUGGGUGUUCUAGCUCGUUAAUGCCAGCAGCACAUUGUUUUGUUCUUGUCAGAAAACUUGAUGUGACAA